GGUCCCAGUGGCCCCCUGUGGAUCCUGCGGGUCCCUAUGGGUCCCUAUGGAUCCCAGUGGGUCCCUAUGGAUCCUGUGGGUUGCUAUAGGUCCCUAUGGAUCCUGGGGGUCCCUGUGGGUCCCAGUGGCCCCCUAUGGAUCCUAUGGGUUCCUAUGGAUCCCAUGGGUUGCUAUAGGUCCCAGUGGCCCCCUAUGGAUCCCAUGGGUCCCAGAGGCCCCCUGUGGAUCCUAUGGGUCCCUGGGGGUCCCGGUGGCCCCCUAUGGAUCUUGUGGGUCCCUAUGGAUCCCAUGGGUCCCUAUGGGUCCUGGAGCCCCCUAUGGAUUCCUGUGGGUUCCAGUGGCCCCCUAUUGAUCCCAUGGGUCCCUAUGGAUCCUAUGGGUCCCUGUGGGUCCCGGUGGCCCCCUAUGGAUCCCGUGGGUCCCUGGGUAUCCCUAUGGGUCCUAGUGGGUCCCUAUAGAUCCCAUGGGUCCCUAUGGGUCCUGAUGGCCCCCUAUGGAUCCUGUGGGUCCCAGUGGGCCCCUAUGGAUCCCAUGGGUCCUGGAGGCCCCCUAUGGAUCCUAUGGGUCCCUGUGGGUCCCAGUGGCCCCCUAUGGAUCCCAUGGGUUGCUAUAGGUCCCUAUGGAUCCUAUGGGCCCCUAUGGGUCUUGGGGGGCCCCUAUGGAUCCCAGUGGGUCCCUAUGGAUCCUAUGGGUCCCUGUGGGUCCCAGUGGCCCCCUGUGGAUCCCAUGGGUCCCUAUGGAUCCUAUAGGUCCCUGGGGAUCCCUAUGGGUCCCAGUGUCCCCCUAUGGAUCCUGGGGGUCCCGGUGGGCCCCUAUAGAUCCCUUCCCCUCCCCUCCCCCCCCAGCUGUCGGGGCUGACAUCGUCCACCACUGAGCUGAUCCUGGGGCACCUCUUCACGCAGGUACUGGGGGCACUGGGGGGAACUGGGAGGGACUGGGGGGUGACUGGGGGGAACUGGGAGGGACUGGGAGUGACUGGGGGGAACUGGGAGGGACUGGGGGGGUGACUGGGGGGAACUGGGAGGGACUGGGGUGUGACUGGGGGUAACUGGAGGGU
rnacentral:lncRNA from 1 species